rnacentral:rRNA from 1 species
CCCUUAGAUGUCCUGGGCCGCACGCGCGCUACACUGAUGCAUUCAACGAGUUUUUCCUUGGCCGAGAGGCCUGGGCAAUCUUUUAAACGUGCAUCGUGAUAGGGAUAGAUUAUUGCAAUUAUUAAUCUUGAACGAGGAAUUCCUAGUAAACGCAAAUCAUCAAUUUGCAUUGAUUACGUCCCUGCCCUUUGUACACACCGCCCGUCGCACCUACCGAUUGAAUGGUCCGGUGAAGCCUCGGGAUUGUGGCCAGUUCACUUUAUUGGGAGUUGGCUGCGAGAACUUGUCUAAACCUUNUNAUUUAGNGGAAGGUGAANUCGUANCA